UACGAAGGGGGGCUAGCGUUGUUCGGAAUUACUGGGCGUAAAGGGCGCGUAGGCGGCGUGUCAAGUCAGGCGUGAAAGCCCCCGGGCUCAACCUGGGAACCGCGCUUGAGACUGGCAUGCUCGAGUUCGGGAGAGGAUGGUGGAAUUCCCCAGUGUAGAGGUGAAAUUCGUAGAUAUUGGGAAGAACACCGAUGGCGAAGGCAGCCAUCUGGACCGACACUGACGCUGAGGCGCGAAAGCGUGGGGAGCAAACAGG
rnacentral:rRNA from 1 species